rnacentral:pre_miRNA from 1 species
UGUACUGGCUGUUCCAUCAAUUAGGCAGGUUAUUAGUCAUGGUGGCACAUCCAGAUACAUA